rnacentral:rRNA from 1 species
UACGUAGGUUGCGAGCGUUUAUUCGGAUUUACUGGGCGUAAAGAGCACCGAGGUGGCUUCUUAAGUUGGAUGUGAAAUCUCCUGGCUUAACCGGGAGGCGCCAUUCAAAACUGGGGAGCUUGAGGUCAGCAGGGGAAGGUGGAAUUCCCGGUGUAGUGGUGGAAUGCGUAGAGAUCGGGAGGAACACCAGUGGCGAAAGCGACUACCUGGCCUGUUCUUGACGCUGAGGCGCGAAAGCUGGGGGGAGCAAACGGG